CACAGGGGGCACCUUGCCUUUUUGGCUCGGUGGCAAAGCGGUACGUGGGCCAUCCCGGCAGGCACUAGCGCUCCCCCUGCACCCUCUGGCCGCCCGGGCGCGGGACCUGGCCCCCGCCUCCUCCACAGUCUCCGACUUGCGAGCCGCACGGCCCAGGUGAAGCCGCUGGGCGCGUCCCCGCGCGCCCCUUCCCCCUCCCGGCGACUUCCUGAUUUGCAAGAAGGUGCAGGAGCCGCAGCGGGCUGCCCCGGUCGCAGGAACUGAGAGGCCUCAGCUUUGGUGGCGGCUACCGGCGGAGACGGGGGCGGCGGCCACGCCACCGCUGCUGUCACAGAAAGGCUCUGGGCAAAUCCAGACAGAACCUUUGACUUGGUGUUGAAAGUGAAAUGUCAUGCCUCUGAAAAUGAAGAGGACAGUCCAGUUUAUCUGCCGAGGAUUCCCCUUGGAAAAGUACGCCGAUUCGCAUUUUGCAUUAAGAAACUGGUAAACUUUCCUGUCGGUCCUGGCGUAGCGCCUCCCGCGUCCGGCGUAGACCCUGUACCGGCUGA
rnacentral:sRNA from 1 species